rnacentral:rRNA from 1 species
UACAGAGGUCUCAAGCGUUGUUCGGAUUCAUUGGGCGUAAAGGGUGCGUAGGUGGCGCCGGUAAGUCGAGUGUGAAAUUUCGGAGCUUAACUCCGAAACUGCAUUUGAUACUGCCGGUGCUUGAGGACUGGAGAGGAGACUGGAAUUUACGGUGUAGCAGUGAAAUGCGUAGAGAUCGUAAGGAAGACCAGUGGCGAAGGCGGGUCUCUGGACAGUUCCUGACACUGAGGCACGAAGGCCAGGGGAGCAAACGGG